GUUCACGUACGAUCACCAAAGUUAAGCAACAUCGAGUCUAGUCAGUACCUAGAUGGGUGACCGCUUGGUAAAACUAGGUGCUGUAA